GCUAUCACUAGCUAGGAGAAAAAAAAAUGGAUGGUGCAAUGGUUGAGGAGAUGAAGUCUUUGCAGAAAAACCGCACUUGGGAGCUAGUUCAGCUUCCAGAAGGAAAGAAUGUCAUUGGAUGCAAAUGGGUCUACAAAAGGAAACCAACAGUAUCAGAAAAAGAAGGGGAAAAGUUCAAGGCUGGACUAGUUGCAAAGGGAUUUUCGCAGCAAAAGGGGAUAAAUUAUGAUGAAAUCUUUUCUCCUGUGAUCAGCCAUACUUCAAUCAGGGCAGUGCUUGCAUUAAUAGCUGUUUGGGAUUUGUAUUUGGAGCAGAUGAAUGUUAAAACUGCUUUCUUGCAUGGUGAUUUGGAGGAGCAGAUUUACAUGGAGCAGUCAGAAGGGUUCACUCAGCCUGGACAGCAGCAUCUGGUUUGCAGGUUAAAGAAAUCGUUGUAUGGGUUGAAAGUUGAAACAGUCUCCAAGACAAUGGUACAAGCGGUUUGACUCCUGCAUGAUGCAGAUUGGCUACAGGCGAUGUCACAGCCUGCAUAAGAUGCAACUCAAAGAAAGGUCACAAGUCCCCUGAGGAAGCAAACAUGAAGCUGAUUAAAAUUCCAAAGGCUCCAAAAGAUUAUGAUGUACUCUCCAUUCCUCUGACAUCAGCUGCUGUGAGAAUGCUGAAGCUCAGAAGAGGAGUUCCAGAUGAAUGGCGCCAGUAUUUACCCAGUUAAUUAAAGCGAUAAUUAUCUUAAUUACGUCUUAAUUAACUUUAAUUAAUGCUUAUCUGUGCAUUCCACUGUAUAUUUUAAUCAGUUUGAUUAAUAUAAUCUAGCAGUUAUGGUGAUAUGGACUUAUAUGACUCUUAAUCUCCAAUUAACUCUUACCUGUAACCAUUUACUGAAUGAAAUUUUAGAUAAUGUGAGGAUUA